ensembl:lncRNA
GCCCCACUGUUAACUAACACACACACACCUACUACCUGCCCCCCACUGUUAACUAACACACACACACAGGAAAGGUCGCUGGUUCAAAUCCCCCCGCCGACUAAAGUGAAAAUCUGACAAUGUGCCCUUGAGCAAGGCAACUAACCACACUGGCUCCUGUAAGUUGCUCUGGAUAAGAGCGUCUGCUAAAUGACUCCAAUUUCAAAGUGUAAAUUCACUUCCUGUAGUAGAGCCGGAAUGACUGCCUCAUGAAUAUUCAGAGACGGACUGUUGAAUGACUGCCUCAUGAAUAUUCAGAGACAGACUGUUGAAUGACUGCCUCAUGAAUAUUCAGAGACAGACUGUUGAAUGACUGCCUCAUGAAUAUUCAGAGACAGACUGUUGAAUGACUGCCUCAUGAAUAUUCAGAGACAGACUGUUGAAUGACUGCCUCAUGAAUAUUCAGAGACGGACUGUUGAAUGACUGCCUCAUGAAUAUUCAGAGACAGACUGUUGAAUGACUGCCUCAUGAAUAUUCAGAGACGGACUGGUACACUCCAAGACAAAAGCUUUUUAAAUGCUGUAAAUGUUUUACUCGUAACCUACAAGAUGAACUGAUUUUAACUUUCACCUGCUCUGACGUUCGUGUCUGAGAAGCACAUUAUUUUCUGCUCUGAUAGGAUAGUCUGAUAGGUUAGUUUAAUACACUGCUCUGAUAGGUUAGUUUAAUACACUGCUCUGAUAGGUUAGUUUAAUACACUGCUCUGAUAGGAUAGUCUGAUAGGUUAGUUUAAUACACUGCUCUGAUAGGAUAGUCUGAUAGGUUAGUUUAAUACACUGCUCUGAUAGGUUAGUUUAAUACACUGCUCUGAUAGGUUAGUUUAAUACAUUGCUCUGAUAGGUUAGUUUAAUACACUGCUCUGAUAGGUUAGUUUAAUACACUGCUCUGAUAGGUUAGUUUAAUACACUGCUCUGAAGACUGUUGAUGCCAUUGGAGAUCCACAAACUGACUGUGGAAUGUUUUGGUUCCUGAUGGUCAAAUCUGAAGCCCUAUUCUCUAUAGUAGGGGUCAAAUCUGAAGCCCUAUUCUCUAUGUAGUGCACUAAGGGGAUAGUAGGGGUCAAAUCUGAAGCCCUAUUCUCUAUGUAGUGCACUAAAGGGAUAGUAGGGGUCAAAUCUGAAGCCCUAUUCUCUAUGUAGUGCACUAAGGGGAUAGUAGGGGUCUGCACUAUGAAGGGAAUAGGGGGGAUAAUUUGAAGAUGAAGCCUUUUUGUCACUGAUACGGUUGUGGUUUUAUACAGUACCAAUGUAAAAGCACAUUGACGAUCUAUAUUCCUUUAAUUAUGAAUGAGAUGAUGCUUUAUGGAUUCAUCCCAGACUGCUCUCUGUUUUCUACACAGAUGCAGACCUUUGAGGGAAAACUUUUAUACUUUGGGUUUUUGGAAUAAUAAAAUGAAAAUAAAUAAAUAAAACAUGUGGUGAACUAAACCGACCGGUAUGGUGUUCUUUAUCAACAUGAAUGUGGUGAACUAAACCGACCGGUAUGGUGUUCUUUAACAACAUGAAUGUGGUGAACUAAACCGACCGGUAUGGUGUUCUUUAUCAACAUGAAUGUGGUGAACUAAACCGACCGGUAUGGUGUUCUUUAUCAACAUGAAUGUGGUGAACU